rnacentral:rRNA from 1 species
CCCUUAGACGUUCUGGGCCGCACGCGCGCUACACUGACCAGUGCAACAAGCAUCCGUCCUUGGCCGACAGGCUCGGGCAAUCUUUGAACGCUGGUCGUGAUGGGGAUAGACUUUUGCAAUUUUUGGUCUUCAACGAGGAAUUCCUAGUAAACGCAAGUCAUCAACUUGCAUUGAUUACGUCCCUGCCCUUUGUACACACCGCCCGUCGCACCUACCGAUUGAAUGGUCCGGUGAAAUCUCGGGACGGCGGCUCGGUCGCUUGCGUCCGACUGCUGAAACUUGAUUAAACCAUAUCAUUUAGAGGAAGGUGAAGUCGUAACA